rnacentral:rRNA from 1 species
CAUUACCGAGUUCUCGGGCUCCGGCCCGAAUCUCCAACCCUUUGCCUACCUUACCUCUGUUGCUUCGGCGCCGCGGCGGCUCGCGCCGCCGCCCGCCGGAGGACCACCAAACUCCAGUCAGUGAACGUCGCAGUCUGAAAACAAGUUUAAUAAACUAAAACUUUCAACAACGGAUCUCUUGGUUCUGGCAUCGAUGAAGAACGCAGCGAAAUGCGAUAAGUAAUGUGAAUUGCAGAAUUCAGUGAAUCAUCGAAUCUUUGAACGCACAUUGCGCCCUUUGGUAUUCCGAAGGGCAUGCCUGUUCGAGCGUCAUUACAACCCUCAAGCUCUGCUUGGUAUUGGGCACCGUCCGCCUCCGCGGACGCGCCUCGAAGACCUCGGCGGCGGCGUCAAGCCCUCAAGCGUAGUAGAAUCUAUCUCGCUUUGGAGCGCUGGGCGUCGCCCGCCGGACGAACCUUCUGAACCACUUCUCAAGGUUGACCUCGGAUCAGGUAGGAAUACCCGCUGAACUUAAGCAUAUCAAUAAGCGGAGGAAAAGAAACCAACAGGGAUUGCCUUAGUAACGGCGAGUGAAGCGGCAACAGCUCAAUUUGAAAGCUGGUCCUUUCAGGGCCCGCGUUGUAAUUUGUAGAGGAUGAUUCGGCGAGGGCUCCCGCCUAAGUCCCCUGGAACGGGGCGUCAUAGAGGGUGAGAAUCCCGUAUGCGGUGGGCUGCCUUAGCCAUGUGAAUCU